ACAGCACCAGUAAGUAGCAGUCAUGGAGGAAUCUCAGAAUGUUAGUGGUUGCUGAGCAAGCUGGACUAUCUUUACUCAUAUUUGUUGGAAUGGGAGCAGAAGUCUCUUUGCUAUAUGAAACAAUGCUUCAUGUGGAUCUGUGUGUGGCAGCAUUAGGAAGUGGUAUAAUGAUCUGCAGCACGGACUGUGGGUGAGAUGCUCAGCCCCCACUCAGGCCCUUUAUGCCAGAUCCCAUGAAGAACUUUGAAUGAGAAACUUUGCAAAGAUCUGACAUUUGAUAAUGCUUUCCCCC